rnacentral:lncRNA from 1 species
UUUUCGGGAAUUUUCUGGAAUUUUUAAACAUUUUUCGGAAUUAAAAUCGAUAAAAGAAUCACUUUUCAAAUAAAUAAUCAAGUCCCAAAUACUUGAAAUUGGACUUGAAAUCAUUCAUAAACAAUUAUCGAGCCUUUAAAAUAAUUUAGAAAAAUAUUUCAAAGCUCGAAACUAUUUUCGGAAUUUUUAAAUCAAAAAGGAUUAAUUAAAUCCAAUUAAUUAAUCAAUU